rnacentral:rRNA from 1 species
UACAGAGGGUGCAAGCGUUGCUCGGAAUCAUUGGGCGUAAAGGGCAAGUAGGUGGUCUCAUUUGUCUUGUGUGAAAUCCUUGGGCUUAACUCAAGAAGUGCGCAAGAAACGGUGAGACUCGAGUUCUGGAGAGGGUCGUGGAAUUCCCGGUGUAGCGGUGAAAUGCGUAGAGAUCGGGAGGAACAUCAGUUGCGAAGGCGGCUCUCUGGACCAGCACUGACACUGAGGCACGAAAGCGUGGGGAGCAAAAGGG